GGUGGCGUGUCCGAGCGGCCGAAGGUGAACGCCUCGAAAGCGUUUGUCGGGUAACCCCCGACCAGGGGUUCGAAUCCCCUCGCCACCG
rnacentral:tRNA from 3 species